rnacentral:rRNA from 1 species
UACGGGGGGGGUAAGCGUUGUUCGGAAUUACUGGGCGUAAAGGGCGCGUAGGCGGCUUGGCAAGUUGGGUGUGAAAGCCCAGGGCUCAACCCUGGAAUUGCACUCAAGACUGCCUUGCUUGAAUUCGGUAGAGGUUGGUGGAAUUCCCAGUGUAGAGGUGAAAUUCGUAGAGAUGGGGAAGAACACCCGUGGCGAAGGCGGCCAACUGGACCGACAUUGACGCUGAGGCGCGAAAGCGUGGGGAUCAAACAGG